UGCAGCCAAAGAAGGAGGGCCUGGCUGUAUUCUACAGUGCAUGUGUCUCCAGUGUUUUCCAGCGACUGGAGAUACGGCCCUGUUGGAAUAACAGCCAGAGCCAAGAGCAGCAUCGGAGG
rnacentral:pre_miRNA from 11 species